AAUAAGAUGGCUGAAAAUAGGCUAUAAAUUGUAAAUUUAUUUAUGAAUAAAAUUCUCUUAUUA
rnacentral:tRNA from 1 species